UUGAUGGGAGCUUGCUCCCUGAUAUCAGCGGCGGACGGGUGAGUAACACGUGGGUAACCUGCCUGUAAGACUGGGAUAACUCCGGGAAACCGGGGCUAAUACCGGAUAACUCAUUUCCUCGCAUGAGGAAAUGUUGAAAGNUGGCUUCGGCUANCACUUACAGAUGGACCCGCGGCGCAUUAGCUAGUUGGUGAGGUAACGGCUCACCAAGGCAACGAUGCGUAGCCGACCUGAGAGGGUGAUCGGCCACACUGGGACUGAGACACGGCCCAGACUCCUACGGGAGGCAGCAGUAGGGAAUCUUCCGCAAUGGACGAAAGUCUGACGGAGCAACGCCGCGUGAGUGAUGAAGGUUUUCGGAUCGUAAAGCUCUGUUGUUAGGGAAGAACAAGUGCCGUUCGAAUAGGGCGGCACCUUGACGGUACCUAACCAGAAAGCCACGGCUAACUACGUGCCAGCAGCCGCGGUAAUACGUAGGUGGCAAGCGUUGUCCGGAAUUAUUGGGCGUAAAGCGCGCGCAGGUGGUUCCUUAAGUCUGAUGUG
rnacentral:rRNA from 1 species